GUCCAGGGAUGGGAAUCGAACCCACAAUGUUCCGCUUACCGGGCAGAUGUCAUGUCAACUAGUCUACCCUGGA